GAUGAACGCUGACAGAAUGCUUAACACAUGCAAGUCUUUGGCGAGGCUGUGCUUGCACAGCCUAGCCAAGGCGGACGGGUGAGUAACGCGUAAGGAACUUGCCCUGCAGUCAGGGAUAACAGACGGAAACGACUGAUAAGACCUGGUAAAGUCAGGCGGACUCAUGUCCAGCCUGAUGAAAAGAGAUGCUGCAGGAGAGCCUUGCGUCCUAUUAGCUUGUUGGUGGGGUAACGGCCCACCAAGGCGAUGAUAGGUAGCCGGCCUGAGAGGGUGGACGGCCACAAGGGGACUGAGAUACGGCCCUUACUCCUACGGGAGGCAGCAGUGGGGAAUAUUGGACAAUGGGGGCAACCCUGAUCCAGCAAUUCUGUGUGCACGAUGAAGGUUUUCGGAUUGUAAAGUGCUUUCAGCAGGGAAGAAAAAAAUGACGGUACCUGCAGAAGAAGCGACGGCUAAAUACGUG
rnacentral:rRNA from 1 species